rnacentral:tRNA from 1 species
GCCAAUGUAGCUAAGUCGGUAAAGCAACUCCGGUAAGGAGUAGGUCCGCGGUUCAAGUCCGCGCAUCAGCUCCA